rnacentral:rRNA from 1 species
CAGUAGCCACGGGAACACGUAGGGUGCGAGCGUUAAUCGGAAUUACUGGGCGUAAAGCGUGCGCAGGCGGUUAUAUAAGACAGAUGUGAAAUCCCCGGGCUCAACCUGGGACCCGCAUUUGUGACUGUAUAGCUAGAGUGUGUCAGAGGAUGGUGGAAUUCCCGGUGUAGCGGUGAAAUGCGUAGAGAUCGGGAGGAACACCGAUGGCGAAGGCAGCCCCCUGGGCCAACACUGACGCUCAUGCACGAAAGCGUGGGGAGCAAACAGGAUUAGAUACCCCCGUAGUCCCUGUCUCUUAUAC